rnacentral:lncRNA from 1 species
CAAGAUAGAUUUCUUUUAGAUUUGGUUUAAUGUAAACCGAGUUGGAAAAAGUUUUGUGGUUUGAUUUUAUUUUUUAAUUUCUUGUUUAGUUUUUUAAACCGGAGUGUAUUUGUAAACCAAUUUUAAUUUAUAAAUAAAAUUUAUUUUAUUCUAAAUUGUAAAACAAUUUUGGUUUAAUUUUCAAUUAUUUUAUUUUUAUUUUUAAUUAUAAUUAAUUUUAGUUUAUUGUAGAAAGAUCUAUCAUAGUACGAAAGUAAUGUUAAAGUAAAUAAUAUCAUCCAAAUAUUGCUAUCAUAUCUGUACAUUUCGUAGCGUUCAAAAAAUACGAUCAUAAGGGGAUACCUACGAUGACAUUGCAUGUAUGAA